rnacentral:rRNA from 1 species
GAUGAACGCUGGCGGCGUGCUUAACACAUGCAAGUCGAACGGAAAGGCUCCUGCUUGCAGGGGUACUCGAGUGGCGAACGGGUGAGUAACACGUGGGUGAUCUGCCCUGCACUUCGGGAUAAGCCUGGGAAACUGGGUCUAAUACCGGAUAGGACGAUGGUUUGGAUGCCAUUGUGGAAAGUUUUUCGGUGUGGGAUGAGCUCGCGGCCUAUCAGCUUGUUGGUGGGGUAUUGGCCUACCAAGGCGUCGACGGGUAGCCGGCCUGAGAGGGUGUACGGCCACAUUGGGACUGAGAUACGGCCCAGACUCCUACGGGAGGCAGCAGUGGGGAAUAUUGCACAAUGGGCGCAAGCCUGAUGCAGCGACGCCGCGUGGGGGAUGACGGCCUUCGGGUUGUAAACUCCUUUCGCUAGGGACGAAGCGCAAGUGACGGUACCUGGAGAAGAAGCACCGGCUAACUACGUG